rnacentral:rRNA from 1 species
CCUACGGGUGGCAGCAGUGGGGAAUAUUGGACAAUGGGGGCAACCCUGAUCCAGCCAUGCCGCGUGUGUGAAGAAGGCCCUCGGGUUGUAAAGCACUUUCAGUGAGGAAGAACGCCUGGUGGUUAAUACCCAUCAGGAAAGACAUCACUCACAGAAGAAGCACCGGCUAACUCCGUGCCAGCAGCCGCGGUAAUACGGAGGGUGCGAGCGUUAAUCGGAAUUACUGGGCGUAAAGCGCGCGUAGGUGGCUUGAUAAGCCGGUUGUGAAAGCCCCGGGCUCAACCUGGGAACGGCAUCCGGAACUGUCAAGCUAGAGUGCAGGAGAGGAAGGUAGAAUUCCCGGUGUAGCGGUGAAAUGCGUAGAGAUCGGGAGGAAUACCAGUGGCGAAGGCGGCCUUAUGGACUGACACUGACACUGAGGUGCGAAAGCGUGGGUAGCAAACAGGAUUAGAUACCCUAGUAGUC